rnacentral:tRNA from 1 species
AUUAGGGUGGCAGAGACCGGUAAUUGCGUAAAACUUAAACCUUUAUUACCAGAGGUUCAACUCCUCUCCCUAAUAGC